rnacentral:rRNA from 1 species
GAUGAACGCUGGCGGCGUGCCUAAUACAUGCAAGUCGAGCGAACGGACGAGAAGCUUGCUUCUCUGAUGUUAGCGGCGGACGGGUGAGUAACACGUGGAUAACCUACCUAUAAGACUGGGAUAACUUCGGGAAACCGUAGCUAAUACCGGAUAAUAUUUUGAACCGCAUGGUUCAAAAGUGAAAGACGGUCUUGCUGUCACUUAUAGAUGGAUCCGCGCUGCAUUAGCUAGUUGGUAAGGUAGCGGCUUACCAAGGCAACGAUGCAUAGCCGACCUGAGAGGGUGAUCGGCCACACUGGAACUGAGACACGGUCCAGACUCCUACGGGAGGCAGCAGUAGGGAAUCUUCCGCAAUGGGCGAAAGCCUGACGGAGCAACGCCGCGUGAGUGAUGAAGGUCUUCGGAUCGUAAAACUCUGUUAUUAGGGAAGAACAUAUGUGUAAGUAACUGUGCACAUCUUGACGGUACCUAAUCAGAAAGCCACGGCUAACUACGUG